UACGUAGGCAGCAAGCGUUGUUCGGAGUUACUGGGCGUAAAGAGUGCGUAGGCGGUCCUGUAAGUUUGGUGUGAAAUCUCCCGGCUCAACUGGGAGGGUGCGCCGAAGACUGCAGGGCUUGAGUAUGGGAGAGGUAAGCGGAAUUCCUGGUGUAGCGGUGAAAUGCGUAGAUAUCUGGAGGAACACCGGUGGCGAAGGCGGCAUCCUGGACCGGCAUUGACGCUGAGGCGCGAAAGCCAGGGGAGCAAACGGG
rnacentral:rRNA from 1 species